rnacentral:lncRNA from 1 species
AGGGGGGCUGAAACUCAAUGAUCAUUGUGGUCCUUUUCAACCCAGGCCAUUCUAUGAUUCUAUGACAAACAGCUGGGUCUGCCGUGUACCCUCACAGCAUCCAGAGGUCACCAUUGACAUCAAAGGGCCCAAUGGAGACCAAAAUACCCAACCCGCGCCGUUCAGUCUCUCAUAGCUGGAGGCAGUUGGUGGCCCUUAGUAUCAUCCUGGUUGACCUGCUGCUGCUCAGUGCUGCCAAGCAAGCUUGCAGGCUCACCACGUUAGCAUACUGGUAACAUGCAGAAUCAAAGUCCAUAACCCACAUAAGAUUUUAAAGUAGGUAUAUUUAUUGUGGCACCGUGUGUGAGGGGGAUAAUUCCUUACUCGCACACACCAAGAACAGACGUGGUUACAUAUUUAAAGACAUAACAUAGACAUAUUUGUUACAUUCCAAAAAAAUGGGCUGGAGUUUUGAGAAAUUACUGACAUGUUGUAUCACCCUCUUAAGCACGCGUCCUAAAGAUGUGGUGGGGGUCUCUGGUAGUCGUUGGAUGAAGGCUGAGUCUUUUUUGCUGUGAACGUUCAUCCUUUUCCGGGGGUUGCAUUGUGUCACAACAGCAACACUGCCUCGAUAUAUUCAUGGGACCCCCCAUGAAGACCCGGUGCAGGACUGCAUCCGCCUGAUGAGCUGUCACUGUUGUUGUCCCUCUCCAACUCUCUCCGCCACAGUGGGGAUUUUGCAAAGCUGAAGGCCUUCCACUUGGUGCCUGAGGGUUGCAGCUUUGGGCCAUCUGGAAGAACAGCCUUGCUGACCUUGUUCCAGAGCCGAAUGGGGCAUUGAGAAAGGCCUGGUCAGCACAGCCACUUGGAGGCAUGGUGCUCAGCAUCAGUGGACCCACUCCGCUGUCUUUCUUGUGCUGGGGGCCCCAGAAGUGGAUGCAGUGCGGCAGGUGGGGCCUUGUGAGAGCAGAGUAGAGGGACAGAAUCACUUCCCCUGACCUGCUAAUCACGUUUGUCUUAAUGCAGCACAGGAAACGCUUGGCCUUGGGGGCUGCAAGUGCACGGUGCCGGCUCAUGUUGAGCCUUUCAUCAGCCAACACCCCCAGGACACUUUCCUCUUCACAGUCCUCCAGCCACUCAUCCCCAAGCCUAUAGCACUGCAUGGGGUUGUUGUGGCCAAAGUGCAGGACCCGCCACUUGGCCUUGUUGACCUCUCCAGUUAAUCAGGAGGGCUGGUAGAUGGCCGAGAGCGGCUUGGCAGUCACCUCUGCCAGCUCCCUCAGGAGUCUGUGGAGAGGCUCUUCCUGUCCCCCGUGCUGUGCGCUGUCUUCCUGCACUGCUGGCUCCUGACAUUUUUCACAUGGUGCUGCAUGAGGAUUGUCAUAAUUCUCUCCAUUAAGGUUAUGUAGGCGUUCAUCUGGCAGAGCAGGUCGAGAGCAUUUAGGUUGUCCGUUUCCUCUGUUCCUAAGGAAGCUGGGUCCGCUUGUCCCGUUCUCUGAAAGUG